rnacentral:rRNA from 1 species
AGGGUGCAAACGUUGUUCGGAAUUACUGGGCGUAAAGCGUGUGUAGGUGGCUGCGAAAGUCGGAUGUGAAAGCCCUGGGCUCAACUCAGGAAGUGCACCCGAUACUGCGUAGCUCGAGUACCGGAGAGGUUGGUAGAAUUCUCGGUGUAGAGGUGAAAUUCGUAGAUAUCGAGAGGAAUACCUGUGGCGAAGGCGGCCAACUGGACGAGUACUGACACUGAGACACGAAAGCGUGGGGAGCAAACAGG